AGAGCACUGUUUCGGCUAGGGGGUCAUCCCGACUUACCAACCCGAUGCAAACUACGAAUACCGAAGAAUGUUAUCACGGGAGACACACGGCGGGGGCUAACGUCCGUCGUGAAGAGGGAAACAACCCAGACCGCCAGCUAAGGUCCCAAAGUCAUGGUUAAGUGGGAAACGAUGUGGGAAGGCACAGACAGCCAGGAUGUUGGCUUAGAAGCAGCCAUCAUUUAAAGAAAGCGUAAUAGCUCACUGGUCGAGUCGGCCUGCGCGGAAGAUGUAACGGGGCUAAACCAUGCACCGAAGCUGCGGCAGCGACACUAUGUGUUGUUGGGUAGGGGAGCGUUCUGUAAGCCUGCGAAGGUGUGCUGUGAGGCAUGCUGGAGGUAUCAGAAGUGCGAAUGCUGACAUAAGUAACGAUAAAGCGGGUGAAAAGCCCGCUCGCCGGAAGACCAAGGGUUCCUGUCCAACGUUAAUCGGGGCAGGGUGAGUCGACCCCUAAGGCGAGGCCGAAAGGCGUAGUCGAUGGGAAACAGGUUAAUAUUCCUGUACUUGGUGUUACUGCGAAGGGGGGACGGAGAA
rnacentral:rRNA from 1 species